rnacentral:misc_RNA from 1 species
GAUGAAGAACGUAGCGAAAUGCGAUACUUGGUGUGAAUUGCAGAAUCCCGUGAACCAUCGAGUCUUUGAACGCAAGUUGCGCCUCAAGCCAUUAGGUUGAGGGCACGUCUGCCUGGGCGUCACAUAUCGUUGCCUGAUGCCAGUUUCCUCGUGAUGGGUGACUGUGCAGGGCGAAUGAUGGCUUCCCGUGAGCAUUGUUGCCUCAUGGUUGGUUGAAAAUUGAGUCCUUGGUAGGGAGCGCCGUGAUAGAUGGUGGUUGAGUGACGAACGAGACCCAAUCAUGUGAGACCCCUACCGAAUUUGGCCUUCAUGACCCACAUGCGUCUUUGGAACGCUCAUGACGAGACCUCAGGUCAGGCGGGGCUACCCGCUGAGUUUAAGCAUAUCAUAAGCGGAA